AGAUGGGAGGGUGGUCUGCCUACGACAUCUGUGGUCACAAUUUAUUGAUCAUCAUUGAUCAGCAGGCGUGAUUCGGCUGAUCUGGCUGGAUGGAUAGAGUGUUGUUUCUCCCUCACUAUCCCACGCCUGUUCCUCCUGAAGCCACGCACCCACGCACGAAGAGCAUGACCUUCCCUAAAGGGAAGAGCUUUGCUGUGGGCAAGGAUAUGCAGUGCCGCAUCCUCCUUCCAGAACGUCCAAAGCAGCUCUCAGAAUCAGGAACACCAUCUGCUGAUUCUCAUCCCCCCAGG
rnacentral:sRNA from 1 species